rnacentral:rRNA from 1 species
UACGUAGGUGGCAAGCGUUGUCCGGAAUUAUUGGGCGUAAAGAGCAUGUAGGCGGGCUUUUAAGUCCGACGUGAAAAUGCGGGGCUUAACCCCGUAUGGCGUUGGAUACUGGAAGUCUUGAGUGCAGGAGAGGAAAGGGGAAUUCCCAGUGUAGCGGUGAAAUGCGUAGAUAUUGGGAGGAACACCAGUGGCGAAGGCGCCUUUCUGGACUGUGUCUGACGCUGAGAUGCGAAAGCCAGGGUAGCAAACGGG